UGGUGGCAUACUUUUUAUUUAUGUUGCGGCAGAUUUAUUAACGAAAAUCUGGAUUUAUGUACACCAAUUUCGACCCAGUUUACUAAUAAUUCCGAAUCUGGUUUAUUUCUUAGGUUAAUUAAACUCAGAAUUAGGAAAACAUUUGUAGUUGUCGUCAUCUUUUCCAUCCCUCUUUUCUUCCUUUUCAAGUUGUUUCUUUUCAUGGUAGUUUAAUCACUUGUUGCAAUCCUUAUUGCUUAGAGAAACAUGGAUCACAUCAUU
rnacentral:lncRNA from 1 species